rnacentral:rRNA from 1 species
UACGUAGGGUGCGAGCGUUAAUCGGAAUACUGGGCGUAAAGCGUGCGCAGGCGGUGAUGUAAGACAGAUGUGAAAUCCCCGGGCUCAACCUGGGAACUGCAUUUGUGACUGCAUCGCUGGAGUGCGGCAGAGGGGGAUGGAAUUCCGCGUGUAGCAGUGAAAUGCGUAGAUAUGCGGAGGAACACCGAUGGCGAAGGCAAUCCCCUGGGCCUGCACUGACGCUCAUGC